GUACCGGAGUGGAGUGGAGUGGAGUGGAGUGGAGUAGAGUGCACUGGAACGGAAUGGAAUGGAAUGGAAUGGAAUGGAACGGAACGGAAUGUACCCGAGAAGCACGGAAUGGAAUGGAAUGGGAAUCNNNNNNNNNNGCAACGGAACGGAACGGAACGGAACGGAACGGAAUGGAAUGGAGUGGAAUGGAACGGAAUUCAAUGGAAUGGAAUGGAACGGAAUGGAAUUCAAAGGAAUGGAAUGGAAUGGAAUGGAAUGGAAUGGAAUGGAAUGGAACGGAAUUCUAUGGAAUGGAAUGGAAUGGAAUUCAAUGGAAUGGAAUGGAAUGGAAUGGAAUGAAAUUCAAUGGAAUGGAAUGGAAUGGAAUGGAAUGGAAUGGAAUGGAAUUCAAUGGAAUGGAAAGGAAUGGAAUGGAAUGGAAUGGAACGGAAUGGAAUUCAAUGGAAUGGAAUGGAAUGGCAACGAAUGGAAUCGAAUGCAAUCGAAUGGAAUCGAUUGGAAUCGAAUGGAAUCGAAUGGAAUGGAAUGGAAUAGAAUGGAAGCAACCCGAGUAGAACGGAGCGGAACGCAACGGAACGGAACGGAACGGAACGGAACGGAACGGAAUGGAAUGGAACGGAAUGGAAUGGAACGGAAUUCAAUGGAAUGGAAUGGAACGGAAUGGAAUUCAAUGGAAUAGAAUGGAAUGGAAUGGAAUGGAAUUCAAUGGAAUGGAAUGGAAUGGAAUGGAAUGGAAUGGAAUGGAAUGGAAUGGAACGGAAUUCUAUGGAAUGGAAUGGAAUGGAAUGGAACGGAAUGGAAUGGAACGCAACGGAAUGGUAUUCUAUGGAAUGAUCAACCCGAGUAGAACGGAAUGGAAUGGAAUGGAAUGGAAUGGAAUGGAACUAACCCGAGUAGAACAGAACGGAACGAAACGGAACGGAACGGACUGGAAUGGAAUGAAAUGGAAUGGAACGGAAUGGAAUGGAAUUCAAUGGAAUGGAACGGAAUUCAAUGGAAUGGAAUGGAAUGGAAUGGAACGGAACGGAACGGAAUGAAACGGAACGGAACGGAAUGGAAAGGAAUUCCAUGGAAUGGAAUGGAAUUCUAUGGAAUGGAAUGGAAUGGAAUUCCAUGGAAUGGAAUGGAAUUCAAUGGAAUGGAAUGGAAUGGAAUGGAAUGGAAUGGAAUGGAAUGGAAUGGAAUGGAAUUCAAUGGAAUGGAAUGGAAUGGAAUGGAAUGGAAUUCAAUGGAAUGGAAUUCAGUGGAAUUCAAUGGAAUUCCAUGUAAUGGAAUGGAAUGGAAUGGAAUGGAAUGGAAUGGAAUUCAAUGGAAUAGAAUGGAAUGGAAUGGAAUCAACACAAGUAGAAAGGAAUGGAAUGGAACGGAACGGAACGGAACGGAAUGGAAUGGAAUGAACCCGAGUAGAACGGAAUGGAAUGGAAUGGAAUCGAAUCGAAUCGAAUCGAAUUGAAUCGAAUGGAAUCGAAUGGAAUGGAAUGGAAUGGAAUGGAAUGGAAUGGAAUCAACCCGUGUAGAAUGGAAUGGAUUGGGAUGGAAUGGAAUGGAAUGGAAUUCAAUGGAAUAGAAUGGAAUGGAAUGGAAUGGAAUGGAAUGGAAUGGAAUGGAAUGGAAUUCAAUGGAAUAGAAUGGAAUGGAAUGGAAUCGAAUGGAAUCGAAUGGAAUGGAGUGGAAUAGAAUGGAGUCAACCCGAGUAGAACGGAACUGAACGGAAUGGAACGGAACGGAACGGAACGGAACGGAGUGCAAUGGAAUGGAAUGGAAUCGAAUGGAAACGAAUGGAAUGGAACGGAAUGGAAUGGAAUCGAAUCGAAUCGAAUGGAAUCGAAUGGAAUCGAAUCGAAUGGAACGGAAUGGAAUGGAAUGGAAUGGAAUGGAAUGGAAUGGAAUGGAAUGGAAAGGAAUCAACCCGAGUAGAACGGAAUGGAAUGGAAUGGAAAGGAAUGGAAUGGAACGGAAUGGAACAGAACGGAAUGGAACGGAACGGAACGGAACGGAGUGAAAUGGAAUGGAAUGGAAUCGAAUGGAACCGAAUGGAAUGGAAUGGAAUGGAAUGGAAUGGAAUGGAGCGGAACGGAACGGAACGCAACGGAAUGGAAUGGAAUGAUCAACCCGAGUAGAACGGAAUGGAAUGGAAUGGAAUGGAAUGGAAUGGAAUGGAAUGGAAUGGAAAGGAAUGGAAUCGAAUGGAAUGGAAUGGAAUCGAAUGGAAUGGAAUGGAACGGAACGGAACGGAACGGAACGGAAUGGAAUGGAAUGAACUCGAGUAGAAAGGAAUGGAAUGGAAUGGAAUGGAAUGGAAUGGAAUGGAAUCGAAUGGAAUGGAAUGGAAUAGAACGGAAUUCAAUGGAAUGGAACGGUAUGGAAUGGAAUUCAAUGGAAUGGAACGGAAUUCAAUGGAAUGGAAUGGAAUGGAAUGGAAUUCAAUGGAAUGGAAUUCAAUGGAAUGGAAUGGAAUGGAAUGGAAUGGAAUGGAACGGAAUUCAAUGCAAUGGAUCAGAAUUCAAUGGAAUGGAACGGAAUGGAACGGAACGUAAUGGAAUGGAAUGGAAUGGAAUGGAAUGGAAUGGAACGGAAUGGAAUGGAACGGAAUGGAAUGGAAUGGAAUUCAAUGGAAUGUAAUGGAAUGGAUUGGAAUGGAAUGGAAUCGAAUUGAAUAGAAUGGAAUCGAAUGGAAUAGAAUGGAAUCGAAUGGAAUGGAAUGGAAUAGAAUGGAAUCAACCCGAGUAGAACGGAACGGAAUGGUACGGAACGGAACGGAACGGAAAGGAAUGGAAUGGAAUGAACCCGAGUAGAACGGAAUGGAAUGGAAUGGAACGGAAUGGAACGGAACGGAACGGAACGGAACGGAACGGAACGGAAUUCAAUGGAAUGAACGGAAUGGNNNNNNNNNNCCGAGUAGAAUGGAAUGGAUUGGAAUGGACUGGAAUGGAAAGUAAUGGAAUGGAAUGGAAGGGAAUGGAAUGGAAUGGAAUGGAAUGGAAUGGAAUGGAAUGGAAUGGAAUGGAAUGGAAUCAACCCGAGUAGAACUAAAUGGAAUGGAAAGGAAUGGAAUUGAAUGGAAUGGAAUGGAAUUCAAUGGAGUAGAAUGGAAUGGAAUAGAAUGGAAUGGAAUGGAAUGGAAUGGAAUGGAAUGGAAUGGAAUGGAAUGGAAUGGAAUGGAAUGGAAUGGAAUGGAAUGGAAUGGAGUCAACCCGAGUAGAAUGGAAUGGAUUGGAAUGGAAUGGAAUGGAAAGUAAUGGAAUGGAAUGGAAGGGAAUGGAAUGGAAUGGAAUGGAAUGGAAUGGAAUGGAAUGGAAUGGAAUGGAAUGGAAUGGAAUCAACCCGAGUAGAACUAAAUGGAAUGGAAAGGAAUGGAAUUGAAUGGAAUGGAAUGGAAUUCAAUGGAGUAGAAUGGAAUGGAAUAGAAUGGAAUGGAAUGGAAUGGAAUGGAAUGGAAUGGAAUGGAAUGGAAUGGAAUGGAAUGGAAUAGAAUGGAAUCAACCCGACUAGAAUGAAAUGGAAUGGAAUGGAAUCGAAUGGAAUAGAAUGGAAUCGAAUGGAAUGGAAUGGAAUAGAAUGGAAUCGAAUGGAAUGGAAUGGAAUGGAAUGGAAUCGAACGGAAUCGAAUGGAAUAGAAUGGAAUAUAAUGGAAUGGAAUGGAAUGGAAUGGAAUGGAAUGGAAUGGAAUGGAGUCAACCCGAGUAGAAUGGAAUGGAUUGGAAUGGAAUGGAAUGGAAAGUAAUGGAAUGGAAUGGAAUGGAAUGCAAUGGAAUGGAAUGGAAUGGAAUGGAAUGGAAUGGAAUGGAAUCAACCCGAGUAGAACUAUAUGGAAUUGAAAGGAAUGGAAUGGAAUGGAAUUGAAUGGAAUGGAAUGGAAUUCAAUGUAGUAGAAUGUAAUGGAAUAGAAUGGAAUGGAAUGGAAUGGAAUGGAAUGGAAUGGAAAGGAGUGGAAUGGAAUGGAAUGGAAUGGAAUGGAAUGAAACUGAAUGGAUUGGAAUGGAAUGGAAUGGAAUGGAAUGCAUUGGAAUGGAAUGGAAUCAACCCGAGUAGAAUGGAAUGGAUUGGAAUAGAAAGGAAUGGAAUGGAAUGGAAUGGAAUGGAAUGGAAUGGAAUGGAAUGGAAUGGAAUGAACCCGAGUGGAAUGGAAUGGAAUGUAAUGGAAUGGAAUGAUGAAUCCGAGUAGAAUGGAACGGUUUGGAAUGAAAUGGAAUGGAAUGGAAUGGAAUGGAAUCGAAUGGAAUGGAAUGGAAUGGAAUGGAAUGGAAUGGAAUGGAAUGGAAUGGAAUGGAAUGGAAUGGAAUGGAAUCAACCCGAGUAGAAAGGAAUGGGUUGGAAUGGAAAGGAAUGGAAUGGAAUGGAAUGGAAUGGAAUGGAAUGGAAUGGAAUGGAAGGGAAUGGAAUGGAGUGGAAUCAACCCGAGUAGAACGGAAUGGAAUGGAAUGGAAUGGAAUGGAAUGGAAUGGAAUGGAAUGGAAUAGAAAGGAAUGGAAUGGAAUGGAAUGGAAUGGAAUGGAAUGGAAUGGAAUGGAAUGGAAUGGAUUGGAAUGGAAUGGAAUGGAAUGGAAUCAACCCGAGUAGAAUGGAA
rnacentral:lncRNA from 1 species